rnacentral:rRNA from 1 species
GAUAAACGCUGGCGGCGUGCCUAACACAUGCAAGUCGAGCGGCAGCGAGGGGUGCUUGCACCCUGUCGGCGAGCGGCGGACGGCUGAGUAACGCGUGGGAACGUGCCCCAAAGUGAGGAAUAACUGCCCGAAAGGGUAGCUAAUACCGCAUAUUAUCUUCGGAUCAAAGGAUUUAUCCGCUUUGGGAGCGGCUCGCGUCGGAUUAGGUAGUUGGUGAGGUAAUGGCUCACCAAGCCGACGAUCCGUAGCUGGUCUGAGAGGAUGACCAGCCAGACUGGAACUGAGACACGGUCCAGACUCCUACGGGAGGCAGCAGUGAGGAAUCUUCCACAAUGGGCGAAAGCCUGAUGGAGCAACGCCGCGUGCAGGACGAAGGCCUUCGGGUUGUAAACUGCUUUUAUAAGUGAGGAAUAUGACGGUAACUUAUGAAUAAGGAUCGGCUAACUACGUG